GCUGGUGUUGCUCAGUGGAUAGAGCGUCGGCCUGUGGACCGAAGUGUCAAAGGUUCAAUUCCUGUCAAGGGCA
rnacentral:tRNA from 1 species